GCACCACUGAUGAGUCCUGAACAGGACGAAACAACUGUCCAGUGC
rnacentral:hammerhead_ribozyme from 1 species